rnacentral:rRNA from 1 species
CCGAGAAUAUUGGACAAUGGGCGAAAGCCUGAUCCAGCGACACCGCGUUUAGGAAGACGGUCUUCGGAUUGUAAACUAAUUUUGUAAGGGAAGAAGUUAUUGACUGUACCUUACGAAUAAGGGGUUGCUAACUCUGUGCCAGCAGCAGCGGUAAUACAGAGACCCCAAGCGUUAUCCGGAUUUAUUGGGUGUAAAGGAUGUGUAGGUGGUUGAAGUAGUCUCUUGUUAAAGUUUCAGAGCUCAACUUUGAAAAUGCAGGGGAAACCAUUCAACUAGAGGACGUUAGAGGUUAGUGGAACUAUCGGUGUAGGGGUAAAAUCCGUUGAUAUCGAUGGGAACACCAAAAGCGAAGGCAACUAACUGGGGCGAUCCUGACACUGAAACAUGAAAGCGUGGGUAG